rnacentral:lncRNA from 1 species
UGAAUUAAAAAUAACCAGAAAAGAGAAAAUUCACAAAAUAUAUCAAAUAACAAAAUAAAAAAUAUUUAAAAUCAAAAAUAGAAACUAUAAAUUAUUUGGAGAAGAUAUGAAUUUUUAAAAAUAAAAGAUAUAAAAGAAAUUAAAUCAGAAAAUAGAAAAAUCAAAAAAACCAGGAGCGUCUGAUCAAGCCUCAUUAAUUGACGUGGUUGAUCAAAC